AUUGAACGCUGGCGGCAUGCCUUACACAUGCAAGUCGAACGGUAACGCGGGGCAACCUGGCGACGAGUGGCGAACGGGUGAGUAAUGCAUCGGAACGUGCCCAGAAGUGGGGGAUAGCCCGGCGAAAGCCGGAUUAAUACCGCAUGAGACCUGAGGGUGAAAGCGGGGGAUCGCAAGACCUCGCGCUUUUGGAGCGGCCGAUGUCAGAUUAGCUAGUUGGUGGGGUAAAGGCCUACCAAGGCGACGAUCUGUAGCUGGUCUGAGAGGACGACCAGCCACACUGGGACUGAGACACGGCCCAGACUCCUACGGGAGGCAGCAGUGGGGAAUUUUGGACAAUGGGCGCAAGUCUGAUCCAGCCAUGCCGCGUGCGGGAAGAAGGCCUUCGGGUUGUAAACCGCUUUUGUCAGGGAAGAAACGCUCUGGGCUAAUACCCUGGGGUAAUGACGGUACCUGAAGAAUAAGCACCGGCUAACUACGUG
rnacentral:rRNA from 1 species